rnacentral:lncRNA from 1 species
UCCUGCUUUGGGUCCAGGACCCCAUCCAGGAGAGCACAUCAGCUGUUAGGUCUGCCCAGCCUUCUAGGCGGAGUUUCUCAGACCCCUGAAGGGUGUUAAAUAGGAAUGCGGCCUGGCCAGAGUAUGGGAAACUCUGGGUGACAGCGUGUGCCCUAUCAGAGCGGAGCCUUGGGACAGCGGUGCUGCCUCCAACCCAGGUCUAGCAGGUGAUGUCCUCCAUUUCUUCAGCUCCAGGAGGCCAGGACCUAAUAUUGACUCCCAACUCACCUCCAGUCCAGGUAAGGCCUGAGGAGGGAGAGAUGUAUCCACACCCCAAUCCCACUCCUGACAGGGAGGUCUGGGAAGGGCACACACCUGGAGAAAUGGGUCCUGGGGAAGGCCCUGGCCAUGGCAGCACUUUUCUACCAGAAGUUGCCGUGCUAUCCAGAGUACAAAGGCUGCACCACAGGCUGGCCCUGCUUCUCAUGCCUGGACUCCAGGUACCUGACAUGGCAGAGAGGUGGGGCCUGGUGCUGUGGGCACCGGGAAGUCCCCCAUCUUUUACAGAGCUGCCCGAGCUACCUCAGCAAGAUGCAAAGCAGAGUUUUCCCACUGGAUGUUUGGAAUUGGCUUCCCCAGCCAGGCUGUUACAGAAAUCCUCCAGCUCGUGA